rnacentral:lncRNA from 13 species
GUCGAGCGUGUCCUAAGACAAUUUUAUGCAUUUUUUAAAUUAAAAAUUUUGCUCACUUUUCAGAAACCAAAAGGGAAAACUAUCACAGAAAAUGUUUUUCUCUUCUGUCUCUUCUGUAUUACAAGUGAUAUGUUUUUGUCAUGAUUAAAGUCAUUUUUUUUUUCAGAGAAGUCCAGCUGUUUGAACCAUCUGAAUUGGAAGAGUGGAAAGGAAUGGAAGUGUUGCUUCCGCCUUCCAGAAAGUUAUGGGUAGAAGAAUUGGAACACCGAGAGCCUCACAGAGAAGCGAUAGAGGGCAGAAGCAAGGCCUUCAACACAAAGCAGUUCAUUUCAAAGCAUCUAGGCUUACUGUUGCGGUCUGUGCCUGGUCAUCCUAUAAACUGCUCUUUAUCAAAACAGUUAACUCUCCCCGAUCUCCCCCGACCCGUCUUGAGACUGAGGGGAUGGCAGGAAAUCAUCAAUACAAAAUCCAUGCAGCAACAGCAACCACUUGGCCUGCGGAGGGGGCUGAUGCAGAAAGAAACACAAGAAAACAAAGAGGAAGAGUGUGUGAACUUCUGACCCUCUUUGCCACAUGCCAUCUGGUGGGUGGGUGGCAUGAGCAAGCGUCCUGCAGUGGGCGUUUUUAUGUGACUAAGUGACAAAGAGCCAAAGAGGGCGAGAACUCAUGAGUAGCAAGUGGAAAACUACCGAGAGCUGGCCCAUCACUCCUGCAACAAACCUCACCUCGCUCAAGGGAGGGGAGCUGAGGCUCACUUCUCCAAACCAUGCAGGACCCAGGCGCUCUGAUGGCGCCAGCUCUUCACAGCACAGGAGAGCGUGCCUUCAACAGGAGGUUUUCCUGCCCUGCUCCCUUUUUGACCUCUUUUGCCCAAACGGAGUGACACUUUAUCAAUUGGCGGGGCAGGCAAUGAAUAGAGGAUACUAGUAAUUUCUAACUGACUCCCAUCUGCUAUUCUGCCUGCAGCUUUUAGGAAAGCCACAUUUUAAAAUUAACAAAUAGAAAAGACAACCUUAGUUCAAAAGGGUCAGAUAGGAAAGGAAUUCAAUUGAUCCUCACCCUGUAGUUGUCUGAGCCGGUCUGCUAAAUAUUGACUUGCAGAAGGGCAAGGAAUGUUCUGAAAACUUGUGUGAGAACACAGGCCAGCUGUGCAGUGUCUACAUCAAGGAAUUCCAGAAGGUUUUACCUUUGGAUUUACAUGUUGGCUUUAGCAUUUGGUGGAAGUUUUCUGGGGAGAUGAGAAUAUGAGAUCUCAGGGAAGAACAGUAAAAAUGGAUAUGCAUUGGCUGAGGAUGGCUAAUGCCCUGGGGUUAG